AUUGAACGCUGGCGGCAUGCUUUACACAUGCAAGUCGAACGGUAACAGGGUGCUUGCACCGCUGACGAGUGGCGAACGGGUGAGUAAUGCGUCGGAACGUGCCGAGUAGUGGGGGAUAACGCAGCGAAAGUUGUGCCAAUACCGCAUACGUACUGAGGUAGAAAGUGGGGGACCUUCGGGCCUCACGCUAUUCGAGCGGCCGACGUCUGAUUAGCUAGUAGUUGAGGUAAAGGCUCACCUAGGCGACAAUCAGUAGCGGGUCUGAGAGGAUGAUCCGCCACACUGGGACUGAGACACGGCCCAGACUCCUACGGGAGGCAGCAGUGGGGAAUUUUGGACAAUGGGCGAAAGCCUGAUCCAGCCAUGCCGCGUGUCUGAAGAAGGCCUUCGGGUUGUAAAGGACUUUUGUCAGGGAGGAAAUCCCCAGUGCUAAUAACACUGGGGGAUGACAGUACCUGAAGAAUAAGCACCGGCUAACUACGUGCCAGCCGCCGCGGUAA
rnacentral:rRNA from 1 species